AUGGUGUACAAUUGUUUAAUUAUGUCAUCCUGGUAUCACGGACUUGUUUCAUACAAACGCAGCUGCUGCCAUUUUGCUACGAUUGUUUUGUACGCUCUAAUGGAUUAUAAGAUAACUAACAAACUGGUUCCCAUUGUGUCCGAAUGCAUCGUUGUCCCGCCUUCCAAACUGAAAGUCCAAAAGAGUGAACUCCAAAAGCAGAUGACAUCAACCCCUCUCCUGAUCGACAGUGCAAGCAAGCUCGGACAUUCCUGGUCUUCUUCUCACCGAGCACCCUUCUCUGCUUCCAAGUCACCAAGCUUCCUGGGCCCUCUCCAUUUCACCCAGGAUCACUCUGAGCCCCCUGGAAUGUGGGAUUAA
ensembl:lncRNA